GCUUCGUACAUGUCAAAUGGAGGAGAAAGUAAGAAGAAACGAAAUGACAGUGUUUAUAGGUGAAUAAUUGUUAAGAAGAAACGAAAUGGCAGUGCUUAUAGGUGAAGAAUUGUUAGGAAUACUAGCGUCGGCUAGUCUAUCUAAAAAAUACGUAAGAUUAUCUUCACCCUUUUCAUUUUCGUCGUUUGUCAAACACUCCCUGCCUUCGUCGUUCGUCAAGCACCCUCCGUUCGCUCUCUCGCCAAACCGUUUCUUCGUCCGCCCCCCAUCCCCCCGUGGUCCCUCUCCAAAAAAGAAACCAUAGGCCCAACCAUCAUGCCUCCAUGCCGCCGCUUCAGCUGCUCGCUGCACAGCCCAUCCGUCGCCAUCCUCAUGUGCUGCCCCUGCUGCUCGCCGUCAUCGCACGCGCAAAGCCCCACAAAGCUCUCCUUCACUCGCUUGCCAAGAUCCAUGGCGGCGGCUGGGAGUGUUGGGCAAUUGGGGCGUAGUUGCGGAGGAGGAGUUCAACGAGCGGGAGAUGGAGGUGGCCAUCGCUGCCACGCGUCCACCUCCAGUACCCCGUCAAAGGAUGUUUGGGCGGACUGCUUUAUGGUUUGAAUUGCUGCAGGCCGUCCGAUUUAAACGUGUGGUGCAUGCUGGCUCGCGAGGCACGCGAUUAAUUGGAGUUCAGAAUAGCAAGUUGCGGCAAUCAAUUCAGGAAAAGGAGAAACGAAUUGAUGAAUUUUGUGUCUAGAUUCAGUGUUGCUAUGGGCUCUGAAUUUUUUGAACCUCUGAAAUUCCUGAUCUUGCAUAUGCAGUGCUAAUGUAUCAUGUAUGAGAUAUAUAUGCAGGAUUAGUGGUAUUGCAAAAAAAAAAAACUCGAUGAUCUGUGAGAUAUUGUGUGUUCAAGUUGGCCUGUUCGCCAUAAUGUUCUUUUUCUAUACACAUAAAAAUGUGAUUUUGAUGGUAUUGGUGAUUGUCGACAAGAGUAUCAAAGCGGGCAUUCUGACUUUAGUU